rnacentral:rRNA from 1 species
ACUGAGUCGAGUUGUUUGGGAUUGCAGCUCAAAUUGUACGGUGGUAAAUUCCAUCUCAAGCUAAAUAUUGGCGGGGGACCGAUAGCGUACAAGUACCGUGAGGGAAAGAUGCAAAGAACUUUGAAAAGAGAGUGAAAGAGUACCUGAAAUUGCUGAAAAGGAAGCGAACGAAGCUAGUGAAAGCUGCGUCAUACUUUCCAACUUGCUUGCAAUUUGGACGCUGUGGCCAGCCCAGUUGGGCUUGAUUGCAACGGGUGAAAGCAGGUAAAGAAAAGACUCCAUUUUCUCUCGCCCUACAUGCACCUAUUGCAUUUGAGCUGAACGAAAUAGCUUUGUUUGC